GCGGCCUAUCAGCUUGUUGGUGAGGUAAUAGCUCACCAAGGCGACGACGGGUAGCCGGCCUGAGAGGGUGACCGGCCACACUGGGACUGAGACACGGCCCAGACUCCUACGGGAGGCAGCGGUGGGGAAUAUUGCACAAUGGGCGUAAGCCUGAUGCAGCAACGCCGCGUGGGGGACGAAGGCCUUCGGGUUGUAAACCCCUUUUAGCAGGGAAGAAGCGCAAGUGACGGUGCCUGCAGAAAAAGCACCGGCUAACUACGUGCCAGCAGCCGCGGUAAUACGUAGGGUGCAAGCGUUGUCCGGAAUUAUUGGGCGUAAAGAGCUCGUAGGCGGUGUGUCGCGUCUGCUGUGAAAAUCCAAGGCUCAACCUUGGACCUGCAGUGGGUACGGGCACACUAGAGUGCGGUAGGGGAGAUUGGAAUUCCUGGUGUAGCGGUGGAAUGCGCAGAUAUCAGGAGGAACACCAAUGGCGAAGGCAGAUCUCUGGGCCGUAACUGACGCUGAGGAGCGAAAGCGUGGGGAGCGAACAGGAUUAGAUACCCUGGUAGUCCACGCCGUAAACGGUGGGAACUAGAUGUGGGGUCCGUUCCACGGAUUCCGUGUCGCAGCUAACGCAUUAAGUUCCCCGCCUGGGGAGUACGG
rnacentral:rRNA from 1 species